CAGGGAAUAGUUUAAAUAGAACUUCAGCUUUGGGUGUUGAUAGUGGGGCUAUGGCUUCUUCC
rnacentral:tRNA from 1 species